rfam:Zootermopsis nevadensis contig6359, whole genome shotgun sequence.
GCCACGGUGGUCUAGUGGUUAGAACGCUGGCCUUGUAAUCCUGGGGUCUCGGGUUCGAUUCCCGGCGGUGCCC